GAUUGAACGCUGGCGGCAGGCCUAACACAUGCAAGUCGAACGGUAACAGGAAGAAGCUUGCUUCUUUGCUGACGAGUGGCGGACGGGUGAGUAAUGUCUGGGAAACUGCCUGAUGGAGGGGGAUAACUACUGGAAACGGUAGCUAAUACCGCAUAACGUCGCAAGACCAAAGAGGGGGACCUUAGGGCCUCUUGCCAUCGGAUGUGCCCAGAUGGGAUUAGCUAGUAGGUGGGGUAAAGGCUCACCUAGGCGACGAUCCCUAGCUGGUCUGAGAGGAUGACCAGCCACACUGGAACUGAGACACGGUCCAGACUCCUACGGGAGGCAGCAGUGGGGAAUAUUGCACAAUGGGCGCAAGCCUGAUGCAGCCAUGCCGCGUGUAUGAAGAAGGCCUUCGGGUUGUAAAGUACUUUCAGCGGGGAGGAAGGUGUUGUGGUUAAUAACCACAGCAAUUGACGUUACCCGCAGAAGAAGCACCGGCUAACUCCGUGCCAGCAGCCGCGGUAAUACGGAGGGUGCAAGCGUUAAUCGGAAUUACUGGGCGUAAAGCGCACGCAGGCGGUCUGUCAAGUCGGAUGUGAAAUCCCCGGGCUCAACCUGGGAACUGCAUUCGAAACUGGCAGGCUUGAGUCUCGUAGAGGGGGGUAGAAUUCCAGGUGUAGCGGUGAAAUGCGUAGAGAUCUGGAGGAAUACCGGUGGCGAAGGCGGCCCCUGGACGAAGACUGACGCUCAGGUGCGAAAGCGUGGGGGAGCAAACAGGAUUAGAUACCCUGGUAGUCCACGCCGUAAACGAUGUCUAUUUGGAGGUUGUGCCCUUGAGGUGUGGCUUCCGGAGCUAACGCGUUAAAUAGACCGCCUGGGGAGUACGGCCGCAAGGUUAAAACUCAAAUGAAUUGACGGGGGCCCGCACAAGCGGUGGAGCAUGUGGUUUAAUUCGAUGCAACGCGAAGAACCUUACCUGGUCUUGACAUCCACAGAACUUUCCAGAGAUGGAGGGGUGCCUUCGGGAACUGUGAGACAGGUGCUGCAUGGCUGUCGUCAGCUCGUGUUGUGAAAUGUUGGGUUAAGUCCCGCAACGAGCGCAACCCUUAUCCUUUGUUGCCAGCGGUUAGGCCGGGAACUCAAAGGAGACUGCCAGUGAUAAACUGGAGGAAGGUGGGGAUGACGUCAAGUCAUCAUGGCCCUUACGACCAGGGCUACACACGUGCUACAAUGGCGCAUACAAAGAGAAGCGAACUCGCGAGAGCAAGCGGACCUCAUAAAGUGCGUCGUAGUCCGGACUGGAGUCUGCAACUCGACUCCAUGAAGUCGGAAUCGCUAGUAAUCGUGGAUCAGAAUGCCACGGUGAAUACGUUCCCGGGCCUUGUACUCACUGC
rnacentral:rRNA from 2 species